rnacentral:rRNA from 1 species
GACGAACCGAGCGAACGUUGUUCGGAAUUACUGGGCGUAAAGGGCUCGUAGGCGGCCAACUAAGUCAGACGUGAAAUCCCUCAGCUUAACUGGGGAACUGCGUCUGAUACUGGAUGGCUUGGAUUCGGGAGAGGAAUGCGGAAUUCCAGGUGUAGCGGUGAAAUGCGUAGAUAUCUGGAGGAACACCGGUGGCGAAGGCGGCAUUCUGGACCGACAUUGACGCUGAGGAGCGAAAGCCAGGGGAGCAAACGGG